UAACUUAUUCCACUCUGAAUCGAUGCAUCAAACAGUUUAGGUUCCAUGCCUCUGAUGCCUCUACAAAACCAUGUGAGGUCAACCCUCAAGCGGCUAAACUCUCAGGACAGGCUGUACAGAACUGGAACUUCCUCCGAUUGCUACCUCUUAUGUAGACAUCUUGAAAACGGGUGACAUCAUAAGAAGUUCCAUCACAAAAGUCAUCCAAGACCUUCUUUCGACUGGGUUGAUUCUGUCCAUGCGAGAAUUUC